GAUUUCUACUUCUUAACGAAAAUUAGCAUCAUCCGACUCUUGUUCUAGAAAGAAAGUUUUAAUCACUUAACUAAAGAGUGAUUUGGCGAAUACUGUAUACAGAGGUUUGGAACAUAUUCUAGAAAGAAAGAAAAAUGAAAGACAAAGAGAGAGACAACCAUUUUGUUCCUUAACAAGUUAGGGAUUAAUGUCAUGUUCUUCUCUUUUUCCUUAUAUCAAGUGUUAGGGGAUUAAUAUCAAUGUCGAUACCUUAUGUGUAGCCACUAGCUAACCUGUCGCAUAAUAGUGCAUAUAUUAACUAACAAACUAUACAUAUUUAGGACUAAAGUAACCUAUGUAGUUCUUAUCGAGUAGAGACAGAGCCAUAUGUUCAAUUAUGAAGUU